UUGUUUGUGUUGAUCGACAUUGCCGACACUCUCUCUCUCCCUCACUCACACUCUCCCUCUCUCCCACUCACACUCUCACCCUCUCUAUCAGCCGAACACAGCAAGAAAAAAAACAGAGCAACCAUUUACCUGCAGACCUCUCCCUCCAGUAGCUUCUCCUAGACCUUGCGCAGCCGCCGGUGGCAUCCUUGCGCCGCAACAUGGACUGUAGUGACGGCGGAGGACCUAGCUCCGUUUGAGCCGAUUUCGAAUCAAUCUCAAUAUCUUGAGCUACAAGCCACCAAUACUCUUGAUUCUGGGCUCAUAUGAUUCGCAUAAACUUUUUGAACAAGCACCAGGAAGGAUCGGACCUGGAUAGAGCGAUUUCACGUUCGUCGGAGCUCGACCGGUUUUCGAUCGAAAACCAAACCUUUCGAUCGAGAUAUCUCGAGCUACAGACCAUCAUUUCUUGUGAUUCUUGCGCUGGUAAACUCAUAUUGAAGUUCUGAACAACUUUCAUGAAGAGAUCGAAGCCAGUUAUUGACGUUUUUACGUCGAAAUUCAAGCUCGCCGGAUUCUGGAAUUUUUCCGGCCACCGAAGCUUUCGAUCGUGAUAUCUCGAGUUGUAGAACUUCGUUUUGGGUGAUUCUUGAACCAGUGAGUUCACCUUGAUGUUCUUAACAACUCUCCAGAAGGAAUCGAGGCCAAAAGAUGAAGUUUUUACGUGGAAAAAUCGGUUGGACGGUUUCUGCAAAUUUCGCCGGUUUCUGGAAAUUUUCCGGCCAUCACGACUGUUUUAGCGGGUAAUCCUACAGGUCCGAAGAAUCGAGAAGGUGAUCAGGCUGCUUAGAGUAGUGGUAUUUGAGUUACAGCAUUAUUGUGAGGUUGUUAUACUCUUUUGAGCUUACAUUUAAAUUUGGAGAGAGUGUGCUGUAAUAUUAAACUCUUGAGGAUUUGGUUUAUGUAUUAUUGAGUGAUGUGAGGUGUGUUUAUUUCUGAGAAAAAAAUUCAGAACGUUUAUUUGUAAUUGUUAUUAUUCAUGUUUCGGAUUUUGAAUUGGUUAUUCAAAAUUUGGGGCGUGACAUAUUUAAUUCAAUAAACUUAUUUAUA